rnacentral:SRP_RNA from 1 species
GCUGGGUGUGGUGGCGUGCGCCUGUAAUCCCAGCUGCUGGGGAGGCUGAGGCACAAGAAUCACUUGAACCCGGGAGGCGGAGGUUGCAGUGAGCCAAGAUAGCAUCACUGCACUCCAUCCUGGGUGACAGAGUGAGACUCUGUCUCAA